rnacentral:rRNA from 1 species
ACGAACGCUGGCGGCGUGGAUAAGACAUGCAAGUCGAACGAGAGAAUUGCUAGCUUGCUAAUAAUUCUCUAGUGGCGCACGGGUGAGUAACACGUGAGUAACCUGCCCCCGAGAGCGGGAUAGCCCUGGGAAACUGGGAUUAAUACCGCAUAGUAUCGAAAGAUUAAAGCAGCAAUGCGCUUGGGGAUAGGCUCGCGGCCUAUUAGUUAGUUGGUGAGGUAACGGCUCACCAAGGCGAUGACGGGUAGCCGGUCUGAGAGGAUGUCCGGCCACACUGGAACUGAGACACGGUCCAGACACCUACGGGUGGCAGCAGUCGAGAAUCAUUCACAAUGGGGGAAACCCUGAUGGUGCGACGCCGCGUGGGGGAAUGAAGGUCUUCGGAUUGUAAACCCCUGUCAUGUGGGAGCAAAUUAAAAAGAUAGUACCACAAGAGGAAGAGACGGCUAACUCUGUGCCAGCAGCCGCGGUAAUACAGAGGUCUCAAGCGUUGUUCGGAAUCACUGGGCGUAAAGCGUGCGUAGGCUGUUUCGUAAGUCGUGUGUGAAAGGCGCGGGCUCAACCCGCGGACGGCACAUGAUACUGCGAGACUAGAGUAAUGGAGGGGGAACCGGAAUUCUCGGUGUAGCAGUGAAAUGCGUAGAUAUCGAGAGGAACACUCGUGGCGAAGGCGGGUUCCUGGACAUUAACUGACGCUGAGGCACGAAGGCCAGGGGAGCGAAAGGGAUUAGAUACCCCUGUAGUCCUGGCAGUAAACGGUGCACGCUUGGUGUGCGGGGAAUCGACCCCCUGCGUGCCGGAGCUAACGCGUUAAGCGUGCCGCCUGGGGAGUACGGUCGCAAGAUUAAAACUCAAAGAAAUUGACGGGGACCCGCACAAGCGGUGGAGUAUGUGGCUUAAUUCGAUGCAACGCGAAGAACCUUACCUGGGCUUGACAUGUAAUGAACAACAUGUGAAAGCAUGCGACUCUUCGGAGGCGUUACACAGGUGCUGCAUGGCCGUCGUCAGCUCGUGUCGUGAGAUGUUUGGUUAAGUCCAGCAACGAGCGCAACCCCUGUUGCCAGUUACCAGCACGUGAAGGUGGGGACUCUGGCGAGACUGCCCAGAUCAACUGGGAGGAAGGUGGGGACGACGUCAGGUCAGUAUGGCCCUUAUGCCCAGGGCUGCACACGUACUACAAUGCCCAGUACAGAGGGGGCCGAAGCCGCGAGGCGGAGGAAAUCCUAAAAACUGGGCCCAGUUCGGACUGUAGGCUGCAACCCGCCUACACGAAGCCGGAAUCGCUAGUAAUGGCGCAUCAGCUACGGCGCCGUGAAUACGUUCCCGGGUCUUGUACACACCGCCCGUCACAUCAUGGAAGCCGGUCGCACCCGAAGUAUCUGAAGCCAACCGCAAGGAGGCAGGGUCCUAAGGUGAGACUGGUAACUGGGAUG